ACAAACUUGGUCAUUUAGAGGAAGUAAAAGUCGUAACAAGGUUUCCGUAGGUGAACCUGCGGAAGGAUCAUUAUUGAGUUCUUUGAAGCAGGAGUUGAUGUUUCUUUGUUUGUCUCUGAUGCUGGCAAUCCUUUGUAUGUGCUCGAGGCAGGCAAGGAAGUCAUUCCAGCUUUCAAAUCCACUCUUACUACUUUAACCCCUGUGCAUCAUGAAUGAAGUUUCGCUCACUGAGUUGCCUUUGCGCAUGUGUUGUGUGGGUCCAGUAUAAUCUGCAAAGGGAUCGACACAUCCCUACGUAGAGGAUCUGCAUAAUGCACAUGUUUGGACAUACACAUGACACAUCUGCAGAGGUGAUGACUGUGGAAGUGAUCUUUGUUUGAUAUUAUACAAACACUUUAUAUGUCUUGUAGAAUGUAUGCUCCUGCCUGUGAGCGAAAUAUUAAAGUACAACUUUCAACAACGGAUCUCUUGGCUCUCGCAUCGAUGAAGAACGCAGC
rnacentral:misc_RNA from 1 species